UACGGAGGGUGCGAGCGUUGUCCGGAAUCACUGGGCGUAAAGGGCGCGUAGGCGGCCUGAUAAGUAGGGGGUGAAAUCCUGCGGCUUAACCGCAGGGCUGCCUUCUAAACUGUCAGGCUGGAGCACAGUAGAGGCAGGUGGAAUUCCCGGUGUAGCGGUGGAAUGCGUAGAGAUCGGGAAGAACAUCAGUGGCGAAGGCGGCCUGCUGGGCUGUUGCUGACGCUGAGGUGCGAAAGCGUGGGGAGCAAACAGGG
rnacentral:rRNA from 1 species